rnacentral:rRNA from 1 species
GACGAACGCUGGCGGCGUGCUUAACACAUGCAAGUCGAGCGGAAAGGCCCUUUCGGGGGUACUCGAGCGGCGAACGGGUGAGUAACACGUGAGUAAUCUGCCCCUCACUUCGGGAUAGCUCCGGGAAACCGGGAUUAAUACCGGAUGUGACCACAGGCUGCAUGGUCUUGUGGUGGAAAGUUUUUUCGGUGGGGGAUGUGCUCGCGGCCUAUCAGCUUGAUGGUGGGGUAAUGGCCUACCAUGGCUUCGACGGGUAGCCGGCCUGAGAGGGUGACCGGCCACACUGGGACUGAGACACGGCCCAGACUCCUACGGGAGGCAGCAGUGGGGAAUAUUGGACAAUGGGCGGAAGCCUGAUCCAGCAACGCCGCGUGAGGGAUGACGGCCUUCGGGUUGUAAACCUCUUUCAGCACAGACGAAGCGCAAGUGACGGUAUGUGCAGAAGAAGGACCGGCCAACUACGUGCCAGCAGCCGCAGUAAAAC